UGAGUGUCGCCGGAUGAUGUGUUUGCUGUAGAUGCCAUUUGAAAAUAUAGGCAGUGUAAGCACUGUAGAAUCUAAUUAUUUCUUUGCAAAACCUAAUUAGGCAUUAAAAAAGGUUAACGCCAGCGCCUGAAACGUUUUUGUUUAAUAAUCCCAUUACUGCCGGCUCAUCAUGUAUAAAAUGGUGCAGGAGGACACUAAGUUUCCACUUGUUAAAGGGAAUCUCUGAGAAAUGGUCGCAUGUUUUUGACACUAUCUGGGAUUGGAAAUUAGGGGUUGUAAUUAAACUGCGGAGACUCAGCUCAGCACUGCCCACGGAAGCUUCCUGGAAGGCUGUGAUUGGCUGCCUGUCUGGGUAGUGAUAGCAGCCCUGGAGCCGGGGAUGAUUGAUGACGGCGGGGGCAAGGCCGAGCGCUGGCAGCAUAAAGCCCCAUAGACGCUUCAAUAAAGAGCCUGGCUAGUGGAGAGCCUGGGCCCCUCCGCCUCCGAGGACCCGCAGCAAGAGGAGUGCAUGGAGAGAGGCAGGAGGAAGAGAGGGAGAAGGAGAGGUGCUCUGUUGUUGGAUAAUCUGUUUAGCUGUCGAGCCAGCAGCCGUCUGAGGCUGGAUAAGUGCAGCGACGGAUGUGUGUGGGGUGAAAAUAGCAGGGGUUGGCUGGUGGAGAGCUGGAGGGAAGAAACAGGCAGAGACAGAGGAGGAGAGAUGGAUCAUCCAGACUCGGGAUGCAUAAUGGAGAAAUAAAUGGGAAGCGGAUGAAGCCAGCUAAAGAUGAGAACCAUGGCUAGAGGUUUAAAUAUGCCAAAGACCAGAAAGUUUGACCCAAAACAAUGAGUUUGAACCUUCAUGCCGCUACUCUGGUGGCCGUCACUCAGCCAGCCGAUGCACAACUGUGGUGACCUUUGGUUCUGUGUGUCAAUGAGACCCAGCAAGUUUGAUUCCUUCAUUGCUGCAUCCACUGCUGUGCCCCCAGACCACAUGCAGCCCUGUUGUAUACCCCAGCGCACAGCAGCUCUGAAAACCACAAUUAGGCACCAAUCUGCCCCUACGAAGCCAGCUUUGAGUGAGUCCAGCAUGGCUACAUGACGUCCUGCAGACCGUUCUGGCUAGAGUUGGCAGGAUGAAGGUUGGAGUGAUGGGGAUGAUGACUGUCUUCACUCUGCAGGGUCCAGAGAGGUCAGAAAUGGGAGGAAAUGGUUCUUGUUCUUCACAUCCAGAUUGUGAGAUGAAAGGAAAUGUUCUUGUUUCGCAGUUUAAUGUCAUCCUUUUAUGAUUAAGAAGUUUAUCAUUUAAGAGUAAGGUAUAAGGGAAAGCUAUGGGGAGUUUCAUUAGAGGAUGAGAGUUUAGAAAAACCUGGCAAAUCCUGGCAACAGAGCCCUGAUCAUCUUGUAACAGAUAACAAAACAAAGUUGUAAAAUUAUGGAUAGACUCAGAAAAAGACCAGUGGUUUAAACCUAGAGAAGGGUCUGCUGAGAAUCUGAAAUGAAGAAUUUGUCAUCAACUUGUGAUAAAAACAAAACUGGUGGCUGUGCCAAAUGUAAAAGAUGAAUUAUUCAACUUGAUUUUUGAAGAGAUGGCUGAACUUUUGGUAAUUCCAGAUGUUUCUAUUAGAAAUAAUGCAGCAACUGGAGUCUCAUUCAACACUUUCCUUGAUGUUAUGGAGGAAAACUGGAGAAUCAUGUUGUAUCAUUUGUAAAAUGUUCAGUCUGCUCAACCAGAGGGAUUUCUGAUCUUUAUAGUCACAUUUAUCUGUAGCUGGUCUGUUAGGAGAUCACAGCUCCUCUAUCUGCAGACACUGUUUUGCAAAAGUAGUUUUGUAGAAUUGUUAAGUUUAUUUGUAAGUUCCAAUUUUAAUCAAGUUUUACUAGUUUGAAAAAACAUAUUUGUUUAUAAGAUUCUUUGUUUUUAGAGAUGUUUAAGAAAAAAAACUUUCAAGCACAAUUUAUGUUGACUAAUGGGUCACAAAACCAAACAAUAAACUCCACCUUCCAUCAUAUUUCCUCUUUUAUUUGAAUCUGCAUUCAGCCACUUCUGUGAGCUAGAGGAGGUGAACUGUCAAUAACUAUAAUGACACAACAUUUUAGCAUACCUCUCUUCAAAAUAAAGCAUGUCUAGUAAAACAAACCAGAUACAUUCUUUUCUUUUCUUUUCUUUUCUUUUCUUUUCUUUUCUUUCUCUCUUGCAGCCUCUGAAUCCUUCUGGUUGUUGUGAUUUUGCAAUUUCUUUUCUGUUGUACCCACUCAAUACUGCAUUUGCAGAUUUCUCAUUUGUGUUUUCCAUUCCCUGUAAAUACUCUAACUGUUUAAAUUCACAGUCAUUUUCUAUUUGUAUUUUCUAAAAUCUGUAUAUAUACUUCACAUUUUAGAAAAUUUACUGUUUGAGUAUUUUGAACCUUUUAAGUAUUUCUGUCACAUUUUCUAGUUGUUUUCUCUUUAUUAUUACUUUUACGCUUCUUUUUUCCUCUUACAAUAAAUGUGAUUGCUGCUGCUGUGACACCAGAAUCUCCCCACUGAGAGACAAUAAAGGGAUUUUCUAUUU